CCUACGGGGGGCUGCAGUGGGGAAUAUUGGACAAUGGGCGAAAGCCUGAUCCAGCCAUGCCGCGUGUGUGAAGAAGGCCUUCGGGUUGUAAAGCACUUUCAGUGGGGAAGAAAGCCUUGGGGCUAAUACCCUCGAGGAAGGACAUCACCCACAGAAGAAGCACCGGCUAACUCCGUGCCAGCAGCCGCGGUAAUACGGAGGGUGCGAGCGUUAAUCGGAAUUACUGGGCGUAAAGCGCGCGUAGGCGGUCUGAUAAGCCGGUUGUGAAAGCCCCGGGCUCAACCUGGGAACGGCAUCCGGAACUGUCAGGCUAGAGUGCAGGAGAGGAAGGUAGAAUUCCCGGUGUAGCGGUGAAAUGCGUAGAGAUCGGGAGGAAUACCAGUGGCGAAGGCGGCCUUCUGGACUGACACUGACGCUGAGGUGCGAAAGCGGGGGUAGCAAACAGGAUUAGAUACCCUAGUAGUC
rnacentral:rRNA from 1 species